UCUGGUUGAUCCUGCCAGUAGUUAUAUGCUUGUCUCAAAGAUUAAGCCAUGCAUGUCUAAGUACACACGAAUUAAAAGUGAAACCGCAAAAGGCUCAUUAUAUCAGUUAUGGUUCCUUAGAUCGUUAACAGUUACUUGGAUAACUGUGGUAAUUCUAGAGCUAAUACAUGCAAUUAAAACAUGAACCUUAUGGGACAUGUGCUUUUAUUAGGCUAAAACCAAGCGAUCGCAAGAUCGUUAUAUUGGUUGAACUCUAGAUAACAUGCAGAUCGUAUGGUCUUGUACCGACGACAGAUCUUUCAAAUGUCUGCCCUAUCAACUUUUGAUGGUAGUAUCUAGGACUACCAUGGUUGCAACGGGUAACGGGGAAUCAGGGUUCGAUUCCGGAGAGGGAGCCUGAGAAACGGCUACCACAUCUAAGGAAGGCAGCAGGCGCGUAAAUUACCCACUCCCAGCUCGGGGAGGUAGUGACGAAAAAUAACAAUACAGGACUCAUAUCCGAGGCCCUGUAAUUGGAAUGAGUACACUUUAAAUCCUUUAACAAGGACCAAUUGGAGGGCAAGUCUGGUGCCAGCAGCCGCGGUAAUUCCAGCUCCAAUAGCGUAUAUUAAAGUUGUUGCGGUUAAAACGUUCGUAGUUGAACUUGUGCUUCAUACGGGUAGUACAACUUACAAUUGUGGUUAGUACUAUACCUUUAUGUAUGUAAGCGUAUUACCGGUGGAGUUCUUAUAUGUGAUUAAAUACUUGUAUUUUUCAUAUGUUCCUCCUAUUUAAAAACCUGCAUUAGUGCUCUUAAACGAGUGUUAUUGUGGGCCGGUACUAUUACUUUGAACAAAUUAGAGUGCUUAAAGCAGGCUUCAAAUGCCUGAAUAUUCUGUGCAUGGGAUAAUGAAAUAAGACCUCUGUUCUGCUUUCAUUGGUUUUCAGAUCAAGAGGUAAUGAUUAAUAGAAGCAGUUUGGGGGCAUUAGUAUUACGACGCGAGAGGUGAAAUUCUUGGACCGUCGUAAGACUAACUUAAGCGAAAGCAUUUGCCAAAGAUGUUUUCAUUAAUCAAGAACGAAAGUUAGAGGUUCGAAGGCGAUCAGAUACCGCCCUAGUUCUAACCAUAAACGAUGCCAGCUAGCAAUUGGGUGUAGCUACUUUUAUGGCUCUCUCAGUCGCUUCCCGGGAAACCAAAGCUUUUGGGCUCCGGGGGAAGUAUGGUUGCAAA
rnacentral:rRNA from 1 species